GACGAACGCUGGCGGCGUGCUUAACACAUGCAAGUCGAACGGUAAGGCCCUUCGGGGUACACGAGUGGCGAACGGGUGAGUAACACGUGGGUGAUCUGCCCUGCACUUCGGGAUAAGCCUGGGAAACUGGGUCUAAUACCGGAUAGGACCACUGCCUGCAUGGGUGGUGGUGGAAAGCUUUUGCGGUGUGGGAUGGGACCGCGGCCUAUCAGCUUGUUGGUGGGGUGAUGGCCUACCAAGGCGACGGCGGGUAGCCGGCCUGAGAGGGUGACCGGCCACACUGGGACUGAGAUACGGCCCAGACUCCUACGGGAGGCAGCAGUGGGGAAUAUUGCACAAUGGGCGCAAGCCUGAUGCAGCGACGCCGCGUGAGGGAUGACGGCCUUCGGGUUGUAAACCUCUUUCAGCACCGACGAAGCGCAAGUGACGGUAGGUGCAGAAGAAGGACCGGCCAACUACGUGCCAGCAGCCGCCGUAA
rnacentral:rRNA from 1 species